AAUCAAGGGCUAUACGGUUUUGAAUUACCAUUUGUCUGAGUUCUUCUUGGGUGUCAGCCAAGGCAGCAACGGCCUUCGAGAGUUCCUUGUGACCUUCACUGAAUUCAUGAGCCAUGAUUUCUAUCACAGCUUGUAGGCGUAGUGUAAAUCUUCCAAGACAAGCAGUGCCUACUCCUGGGAGUAUACCUGCUAAAGAACACCCGACUAACACUCCUUUGCCCUGUGAAAAUCUAAAGAAAAAAAAUAAAGAACAUGAAAGUCCCUGAAAGCUACCAUUCAAUAAGAACUGGAAGAAGUGUCCAAGGCCACCAAGUAGCCUACCUCUGCAGGUCAUGAUUUGCUCAAGAAAUCCUCAAAAUUUCCACUUCAAAUCUUCACCCACAUGUCCGGUAAAUAUGAAGAGCACUCCAUAUUCUCCCAUAAGUAAAGCAGAGAAAAUGAGGGCACUGUAAUGGCAAGGAAGUCGUUUGUAAAUAAAUACUCAGAAGAUCCUAGGAAAAGGAUAAUGUUCCCACUAAAGAAGAAAGCAAAAGGAUCCACAGUCCAUAUCAAUCUGUCCCAAGGAGAAAAUUCCUUAUCCCAAGACUGGCAAUCAGUCUGACCCUGAGAAAAUGAACAAGACACCCUAGCUAGAAGUCUCUGGGUGUUCUAAGGGGUGAGCAAUUAUUUGGACUGGAGGGCCACUUAGGGAGUUUUGAUGAGCUUUCAUGGGACUGGUCAACACCCUCUCCCUUACCACCCCACGACAGCUCACCAAAACUCCCUAAGUGGCUCUGCCCCAUGCUCAUCCAGAUGGAGGGUAUGCAUCCACGGGCAGGUGGGGAGCAGCAUCCUGGAGCAGGAUGGGCUGGGAUUGGGAUUGUGGGUUCCCAUGCUAGGCCAGACCCAAGAAAGAGCCUCAGUCUGCUGCCUACAUGUCCCUGCCCAUGGAACUAGUGCCUGCCGAAGGAAUAUGCAGGCAGCACAUUGUGGCUCUCCCCCAUGCUGUCACCACCCUGCAAUCCCAAUCCCAGCCUUGGCCCCACCCACUCAUUCCACUCCCAGACACCACUCCCCACGCACCCACCUAUGGCCCCAUCCGAUCCUCCUGACUGAGCGCAGAGCCAAGGAACCUGCCCAGGCUGGAUAAAAUCCCAUGGUGAGCCAGAUCCAGCCCACAGGCUGCAUUUUACCCACCCCUGGGAAAAACCAUCAGUGCACAUUAGUCAAUUCCCCAGUUUUAGCUGUGGCCAAUAAACCCCAGAAGCCAGUAGCAUUCAUGAGAGGAAAAAAAUUCCUUCCUGGCCUCUACAGGUGACCAGUAAAAUCCUUAAAUAGAAACAGAAACCAAACAAAAUAGCCACCUCUAACUUGGAGAUUGUGAUUCCAAAUAAUUCCACAUGAUUCCACAUGUCACAUGCAUGCUAGUUGAUGAGCCAGAAUUCCAUCACAUCAUCCCUUCCAUAAACUUACCUGUUCUAGCUUAAAGCAAUUCAGGUUCUGUAUCACCACCUCACAUAUUGGGAAAGCAUGCUGAACUUCCACUUCUCUUAUCAGAAAAUCUUCUAAUUUCCACUACAAAUUUAUCUGCUGCUAGCUUGCAGUUCUUCUCCCACUCAAAUAUUCACCCAACAAUGUACUAGUAAAGAGUGAUCACAUGCCCUUUUCAAUCUCCAUAUUGCUAACCUGAACAAGAAAAGCUACUUUAACCUUCUUUCAUAAGGAAGUCUACAUUCCCGUACUCAUCUUAGUAGCCCUUCUUUGAGCUCAUGCUUUUGAAUACUGGUGACCAGACCUGCCCACGCUAUUCCAAAUGGGAUAUUGCUAAUGCCUAAUACAAUGGCACCAGUACCUACUUGUCACUGUAGCCUAAGAUUGCAUUGGCCUUUGUCACAGACGCGUUACACUGGCAGAUCAUUGUCAUCCUAGAAUCAACCAAAACACAAAAGUUUCUCUCUUUCUUAGUUGUCUCUAAUCUAUGCACCCGUAUUUUAUUUCACCAUACCCAUUUGAGUGCCCUUCCAGACUCAUGAGAUAGACUUACUUUUUUUUUGUCCUGGUGAAUUUGUCUCACAUUUUGGAUUGUGCACAGAUACUUUCCCUCCACCAGCACAAUAGACAGCUCAGUUCUAAACAGUCUUUGUGUUGGCUACAAAGGACAACUCACAGGAUCAUAAUACAUUAUAAUUUAUUGUACGGGAUGUGAAGUUACCCAUAAAAUCAUAAAUGCAAACUUUGAGUUAUGAGGGGAACUGG